GACAGAGGGUGCAAACGUUGUUCGGAAUUACUGGGCGUAAAGCGCGUGUAGGCGGCCAUCUAAGUCGGGCGUGAAAUCCCACGGCUCAACCGUGGAAGUGCACUCGAAACUGGAUGGCUAGAGUCCGGAAGAGGUGGGUGGAAUUCCUAGUGUAGAGGUGAAAAUUCGUAGAUAUUAGGAAGAACACCGGUGGCGAAGGCGGCCCACUGGUCCGGUACUGACGCUGAGGUGCGAAAGCGUGGGGAGCAAACAGG
rnacentral:rRNA from 1 species